CACGUAGGGUGCGAGCGUUGUCCGGAAUUAUUGGGCGUAAAGAGCUCGUAGGCGGUGUGUCGCGUCGGCCGUGAAAACCUGCAGCUUAACUGUGGGCUUGCGGUCGAUACGGGCAUCACUGGAGUUCGGCGAGGGGAGACUGGAAUUCCUGGUGUAGCGGUGAAAUGCGCAGAUAUCAGGAGGAACACCGGUGGCGAAGGCGGGUCUCUGGGCCGAUACUGACGCUGGAGGA
rnacentral:rRNA from 1 species